rnacentral:rRNA from 1 species
CUUUAUUGGAGAGUUUGAUCCUGGCUCAGGAUGAACGCUGGCGGCGUGCCUAAUACAUGCAAGUCGAGCGAAUGGAUUAAGAGCUUGCUCUUAUGAAGUUAGCGGCGGACGGGUGAGUAACACGUGG